rnacentral:rRNA from 1 species
UGGGGAAUAUUGCACAAUGGGCGAAAGCCUGAUGCAGCAACGCCGCGUGAACGAUGAAGGUCUUCGGAUCGUAAAGUUCUGUUGCAGGGGAAGAUAAUGACGGUACCCUGUGAGGAAGCCCCGGCUAACUACGUGCCAGCAGCCGCGGUAAUACGUAGGGGGCUAGCGUUAUCCGGAUUUACUGGGCGUAAAGGGUGCGUAGGUGGUCUUUCAAGUCGGUGGUUAAAGGCUACGGCUCAACCGUAGUUAGCCUCCGAAACUGGAAGACUUGAGUGCAGGAGAGGAAAGUGGAAUUCCCAGUGUAGCGGUGAAAUGCGUAGAUAUUGGGAGGAACACCAGUAGCGAAGGCGGCUUUCUGGACUGCAACUGACACUGAGGCACGAAAGCGUGGGUAGCAAACA